rnacentral:rRNA from 1 species
AUUGAACGCUGGCGGCGUGCCUAACACAUGCAAGUCGAGCGGUAACAGGUGUAGCAAUACAUGCUGACGAGCGGCGAACGGGUGAGUAAUGCUUUGGAAUCUUCCCAGUAGUGGGGAAUAACCAGUCGAAAGAUUGGCUAAUACCGCAUACGCCUGUAAAGGGAAAGCGGGGGCUCGUAAGACCUCGCGCUAUUGGAUGAGCCAAAGUCGGAUUAGCUAGUUGGGGGGUAAUGGCCUACCAAGGCGACAAUCCGUAGCUGGUCUGAGAGGACGACCAGCCACACCGGAACUGAGACACGGUCCGGACUCCUACGGGAGGCAGCAGUGGGGAAUAUUGGACAAUGGGGGAAACCCUGAUCCAGCGACGCCGCGUGUGUGAAGAAGGCCUACGGGUUGUAAAGCACUUUUAGUGGGGACAAAAAGCUACGGAUUAAUACUCUGUGGUCUUGAUUUAACCCAAAG